UACGUAGGCAGCAAGCGUUGUUCGGAAUUACUGGGCGUAAAGAGUGUGUAGGCGGUGCUCUAAGUCUGUUGUGAAAUCUCCCGGCUUAACUGGGAGGGUGCAGCGGAAACUGGAAUGCUCGAGUAUGGUAGGGGCAAGCGGAAUUCCUGGUGUAGCGGUGAAAUGCGCAGAUAUCAGGAGGAACACCAACGGCGAAGGCAGCUCGCUGGGACGGUACUGACGCUGAGGCGCGAAAGCGUGGGGAGCGAACAGG
rnacentral:rRNA from 1 species